GUCAGAGCCAGAGUGAGACCCAUUGUUCUGCAUGAGAGGGGGUGGGGAGAGUGGCAGUGACGCCAGAAAUCUCUGAGUGUGACUCACUGAGAGAAGCCAGCUGGAUGGCAGGGUUGCCAGAGCCUUUGUUCCAAGCUGCAUUUGAGUAGUGAGCUUGAGGUUUUUCCACAGAAGGCAUCUUGGAGAGAGGUAUCACCUCAGAGCUGGAGAAAUGUCAAGCUAGUUGAAUAACAGGCACCAAAGGUUUUGAGGGGUGCAGAGCGAAGAGCCUUGGGCUGAGAGUUUGAGUCCUGACUGUUUCAGUGAGACCAGCAAGCGCUUUCUCUCUCCAGCUUCUCCAUUUCCACCUUUGCAAACUCUGGACUCCAAGGACGCAAGAUGGCCGGAAACAAGAUGGUGGAGCAUGAAGGCCCUUGCCAGAUGACAGCACUAUGCCCUUGGACUCCCCAGCCUCCAUAACCAUGGGCCAAAUAAACUUCUAUUGUUUUAAAUUGCCCAGUCUGUGGUAUUCUAUCAUAACAGCACAAAAUAGACUAAAACAAUGCUCUACACUGGCUGCCAGAGUUCCCUGAUGGGAUUGUGCUCCAGUUGUCCACAGUAGUAACUUGCUGGAUAAUACUUCCUGUUUCCGCAGGCUUCUCUUCUCUGUCUCAUUCCCUCAAUCCCCUAAUGGUGCUUUCUGGGAUCAUCUCCCAAAUAAUCCACUUGCACCUCAAAUCCUCAUCUCAGAGUCUGCUUCUGAGGGAGCCCAAACAAAGGCAUGAAACCUUUCCCAUUCCCCAGUCUCAGUCUAUAUGGUUAAAGUGGGCCUGAACCCCAUUCUAGGAUGGGUCAGACUCAGGUCUGACCAAUGACACCACCAUACCUCUUUUAGGUACAGGGAUGGUUCAGGGAUGACCAUUUGAACUCAAAC
rnacentral:lncRNA from 1 species